GCCGGGUGUGGUGGUGCACACCUGUAGUCCCAGCUACUUGGGAGGCUGAGGCAGGAGAAUCACUUGAACCUGGGAGGCAGAGGUUGCAGUGAGCCGAGAUCACACCACUGCACUCCAGCCUGGGCAACAGAGUGAGACUCUGUCUCAA
ensembl:misc_RNA Metazoa_SRP Metazoan signal recognition particle RNA